rnacentral:lncRNA from 1 species
CUCUGCCCUCUCAUUGGCCAGAAUGGUCCCACCUGAUCUCGUUCCUCCCGCCUGCUUUCGAUUACAUGUUCCAUUGUUAGAGCGGUCACUUGACUAUCUUGUCAAUAUAAUAGACCAUCGUUGGCCUAAUGCGCUCACUGGAAUCUGAAAGUACUCUUUCUAAACAACUAAGACAACCUUACAAACAUGGCGAUUGCGGUUCCUAUAAGCGUGUAAUGGAAGAGUUAUUUUGCCGACCAGUCCCAAAUGACAGGCACCUCCUUCUUCCAAUCCCUGUCUUACUUUGCAUAGAAUGGCACACCCUCUUUACCGUCACUCAGGAGAUACUGAGGGAGGGGGGUGCUCUGAGUUCCUGGUCCUCCUAGCCUCGAUUUGGCCGGACACGACACACUUUCGGAUUUACAGAACAAAAGCAACAACGGACCGAGGGGGGUAGGUACAGUAAGGAAACAAUUUCAAACAAUGAACACAUCGAUUAUUCAAUUCUAAAGCCGUAUAAUAUCAAGUAUCAGUUUGGGUCUCAACUUGAGACAGCUACAAAGUUCUAGAAUUGUUUCCGAAACGAGAACCCGUUUGAGGUUCGACGGAUAAAUAAAGCAUCAGGGUCAGACAAACGGUAUUGUUCUCCAACUUCAGCCACAAAAGAGAAGAUUGGGAUAUUUUGUUUCACUUUAUCCAACCCCAGAGAAGACGGGGUGAAAUACAUGAUUCCGGUGUUUCUGCUGUGCCUCACUGCCUCUGUUGGGGGGGGUCAAACUUGAUUCUGAGGACUGACGACUUGAAGGGAAACAAGGACGACGGAACAAAGCCAGUGCUGGAAACGGGUAAGAGAAGCGCCUGUGGCAGAUUUCUCACAAGCCCCCCCCCCCUUUCCCUGAGACCCCCUGACUACACACCCCACCCUCACAACACAAAAGUCAAUCACCACACUUUGGUUCCAAGGGGGAGGGGAGCACAAUCUGGACAGAGGGUAUACGACCAGCUUCAUGGUGAGACUUUGAGAAGGGAGUGUGACUUAGAGGGGGGAGGGGAAACAGCUGUCAGGUCUUUGACUUUGGGAAUAGAAAGUCCUCCUCUAGAUACUUUCAUCCAGACUGUGACUCAUAUACUGCUCCUUUGACACAUUUUCCCCUAAAGCACAUGACACCAUUAUAGUGUCUAGACAUUGGCAACCUCCAGUGUGAUUUCUCACUGUUAAUGUUAUAAUCAAUUUAUAAAGCACACAAUGUAUUUGAUAUCUUUAUCGUAUCUCUACCAGACUGGAGU